GCAGGCACUGUUCCAGCAGGUAAUGUUCCAGCAGGUAAUGUUACAGCAGGUAAUGUUCCAGUAAGCACUGUUCCAGCAGGCACUGUUCCAGCAGGUAAUGUUCCAGCAGGCACUGUUCCAGCAGGCACUGUUCCAGCAGGUAAUGUUCCAGCAUGCACUGUUCCAGCAGGUAAUGUUCCAGCAGGUAAUGUUCCAGCAGGUAAUCCCGCACUACGGCCUUCCGGAGGAUAUCCUCUCCGAUCUCCAAUUCACAUCACGUGUAUGGAGAAGCUGGGGUGUCACAGUCAGUCUCAUUUCCGGGUAGGUGGAAAGGAUGAACCAGGAACUGGGGAUGUUCCUGAGUAACCACUGCCAGGACCUGCAGGGGAGUGGGCCAGAUUACUUCCUUGGGCUGAAUACGCCCAGAAUUAAUUUCAACACUCCUCCACCAGGCUGACUCCCUUUCAGUGUGUUCUGGGUAAUAAACCAGCCCUGGCUCUGUGGAUUCCGAACCAGACCGAAGCUCCUGCGGUGGACGAGUGGUUCAGGCAGAAGGCGUUUGGAAAGAUGCCAACGUGAGAGUCCAGUGCGUCGUCAGAAAGAGCAGCGAGGCUCCCGUGUUCCGUCCUGGCCCGGUCGGUGUCGUCCUGAGUCUGGAGCCGCUCGUUGGGAGUGGGGUAAUGUUACGUCUACUCCCAUUCUCCCGCUCCAGCGCUCGAUGUCACCGGUCUACUAACCACCGGUCCUGGCAGGCAAUCUUUAAGCACACCUGGCAACCAUGAUUACCUACAGCUGGCAACCAUCAUUACCCACCCCUGGCAACCAUGAUUACUCACACCUGGCAACCAUCAUUACACACGCCUGGCAACCAUGAUUACUCACACCUGGCAACCAUCAUUACACACGCCUGGCAACCAUGAUUACUCACAUCUGAGCCCUAUCAUCAGUCACACCUGGCAACCAUGAUUACUCACAUCUGAGCCCUAUCAUCAGUCACACCUGGCAACCAUGAUUGCUCACACCUGGGCCCUAUCAUCAGUCACUCCUGGCAACCAUGAUUACUCACACCUGGGCUCUAUCAUCAGUCACACCUGAACUACAUUACUACAUUCAUUACUUAGCAUUUUUCUAGCACUCUGUCCAUCAGGUAGUAUUGUUUAUGUUUCCAUGUCAGACGUUUCUCUUGUUUUGUAUCAUUCCAUGUCAGAUAUCAUUAAACUGACUAACUACA